GUCCCUUCGGGGACAUCCGAUAAAAUUGGAACGAUACAGAGAAGAUUAGCAUGGCCCCUGCGCAAGGAUGACACGCAUAAAUCAAUUACGAAAUAUAUCGUA
rnacentral:snRNA from 1 species